rnacentral:tRNA from 1 species
GGAAGGUGAAGUGGCAGCGGUGCCACACCGGUUUCGAAAGCCGGGGGCGUGCAUGCGCAGGGGUUCGACUCCUCCACCUUCCGCCA